rnacentral:rRNA from 1 species
AACGCUGGCGGCAGGCCUAACACAUGCAAGUCGAGCGGUAGCACAGAGAGCUUGCUCUCGGGUGACGAGCGGCGGACGGGUGAGUAAUGUCUGGGAAACUGCCUGAUGGAGGGGGAUAACUACUGGAAACGGUAGCUAAUACCGCAUAACGUCGCAAGACCAAAGUGGGGGACCUUCGGGCCUCAUGCCAUCAGAUGUGCCCAGAUGGGAUUAGCUAGUAGGUGGGGUAACGGCUCACCUAGGCGACGAUCCCUAGCUGGUCUGAGAGGAUGACCAGCCACACUGGAACUGAGACACGGUCCAGACUCCUACGGGAGGCAGCAGUGGGGAAUAUUGCACAAUGGGCGCAAGCCUGAUGCAGCCAUGCCGCGUGUGUGAAGAAGGCCUUCGGGUUGUAAAGCACUUUCAGCGGGGAGGAAGGCGUUAAGGUUAAUAACCUCAUCGAUUGACGUUACCCGCAGAAGAAGCACCGGCUAACUCCGUGCCAGCAGCCGCGGUAAUACGGAGGGUGCAAGCGUUAAUCGGAAUUACUGGGCGUAAAGCGCACGCAGGCGGUCUGUCAAGUCGGAUGUGAAAUCCCCGGGCUCAACCUGGGAACUGCAUUCGAAACUGGCAGGCUAGAGUCUUGUAGAGGGGGGUAGAAUUCCAGGUGUAGCGGUGAAAUGCGUAGAGAUCUGGAGGAAUACCGGUGGCGAAGGCGGCCCCCUGGACAAAGACUGACGCUCAGGUGCGAAAGCGUGGGGAGCAAACAGGAUUAGAUACCCUGGUAGUCCACGCCGUAAACGAUGUCGAUUUGGAGGUUGUGCCCUUGAGGCGUGGCUUCCGGAGCUAACGCGUUAAAUCGACCGCCUGGGGAGUACGGCCGCAAGGUUAAAACUCAAAUGAAUUGACGGGGGCCCGCACAAGCGGUGGAGCAUGUGGUUUAAUUCGAUGCAACGCGAAGAACCUUACCUGGUCUUGACAUCCACAGAACUUUCCAGAGAUGGAUUGGUGCCUUCGGGAACUGUGAGACAGGUGCUGCAUGGCUGUCGUCAGCUCGUGUUGUGAAAUGUUGGGUUAAGUCCCGCAACGAGCGCAACCCUUAUCCUUUGUUGCCAGCGGUCCGGCCGGGAACUCAAAGGAGACUGCCAGUGAUAAACUGGAGGAAGGUGGGGAUGACGUCAAGUCAUCAUGGCCCUUACGACCAGGGCUACACACGUGCUACAAUGGCAUAUACAAAGAGAAGCGACCUCGCGAGAGCAAGCGGACCUCAUAAAGUAUGUCGUAGUCCGGAUUGGAGUCUGCAACUCGACUCCAUGAAGUCGGAAUCGCUAGUAAUCGUAGAUCAGAAUGCUACGGUGAAUACGUUCCCGGGCCUUGUACACACCGCCCGUCACACCAUGGGAGUGGGUUGCAAAAGAAGUAGGUAGCUUAACCUUCGGGAGGGCGCUUACCACUUUGUGAUUCAUGACUGGGGUGAAGUCGUAACAAGGUAACCGUAGGGGAACCUGCGGUUGGAUCACCUCCUUACCUUAAAGAA